UACGUAGGGGGCUAGCGUUGUCCGGAAUCAUUGGGCGUAAAGAGCGUGUAGGCGGCCCGGUAAGUCCGCUGUAAAAGUCAAAGGCUCAACCUUUGAAUGUCAGUGGAUACUGCCGGGCUAGAGUCCGGAAGAGGCGAGUGGAAUUCCUGGUGUAGCGGUGGAAUGCGCAGAUAUCAGGAGGAACACCAAUAGCGAAGGCAGCUCGCUGGGACGGUACUGACGCUAAGGCGCGAAAGCGUGGGGAGCGAACAGG
rnacentral:rRNA from 1 species